rnacentral:rRNA from 2 species
GGGUUGUGAGGUUAAGCGACUAAGCGUACACGGUGGAUGCCCUGGCAGUCAGAGGCGAUGAAGGACGUGCUAAUCUGCGAUAAGCGUCGGUAAGGUGAUAUGAACCGUUAUAACCGGCGAUUUCCGAAUGGGGAAACCCAGUGUGAUUCGUCACACUAUCAUUAACUGAAUCCAUAGGUUAAUGAGGCGAACCGGGGGAACUGAAACAUCUAAGUACCCCGAGGAAAAGAAAUCAACCGAGAUUCCCCCAGUAGCGGCGAGCGAACGGGGAGCAGCCCAGAGCCUGAAUCAGUGUGUGUGUUAGUGGAAGCGUCUGGAA